GUGCCAGCCGCCGCGGUAAUACAGAGGGUGCAAGCGUUGUUCGGAAUUACUGGGCGUAAAGGGCGUGCAGGCGGCUUGUCAAGUCAGAUGUGAAAGCCCACGGCUCAACUGUGGAAGCGCAUUUGAAACUGGCAGGCUUGAGUACCAGAGGGGAAAGUGGAAUUCCCGGUGUAGAGGUGAAAUUCGUAGAUAUCGGGAGGAAUACCGGUGGCGAAGGCGACUUUCUGGCUGGAUACUGACGCUGAGACGCGAAAGCGCGGGGAGCAAACAGGAUUAGAAACCCUCGUAGUCC
rnacentral:rRNA from 1 species